UACAGAGGGUGCAAGCGUUGUUCGGAAUUACUGGGCGUAAAGCGCGUGUAGGCUGCGGAGUAAGUCGGAUGUGAAAUCCCUUGGCUUAACCAAGGAAGUGCAUCCGAUACUGUUUCGCUUGAGUGUCGGAGGGGAUGGCGGAAUUCCCGGUGUAGAGGUGAAAUUCGUAGAUAUCGGGAGGAACACCUGUGGCGGAGGCGGCCAUCUGGACGACAACUGACGCUGAGACGCGAAAGCGUGGGUAGCAAACAGG
rnacentral:rRNA from 1 species